AAGACCUCUCUGUCUUCAUGUUUCUGAGCUGCUCCCCGAGGUCCCCUGAUUUGCUGUGCUGUAGUGCUCCAGUUCCUAUGAAGGGCUCACAUCAGGCCUCUUCUUGUGCCCUUCCUCUCCAGCGCUGUCCCAGAUGGGCUACAACCUGAGCCCUCAGUUCACGCAGCUCCUGGUUUCCCGAUACUGUACGCGCUCUGCCAUUCCCGCCAUGCAGCUGGACUGCUUCAUCAAGGUGUGUACCCAGCUUCAGGUGUUGACUGAGGCCUUCCGGGAGAAGGAUACGGCUGUACAGGGCAACAUCCGGCUCAGCUUUGAGGACUUUGUCACCAUGACGGCUUCAAGGAUGCUAUGACCCAGCCUGCCUAAAGGGUGUGGAGCACACCAGGGGAUGUGGG
rnacentral:lncRNA from 1 species